ACCCGUUACCCGGGUUGCGGACAGUGUCUGGUGGGUAGUUUGACUGGGGCGGUCUCCUCCUAAAGAGUAACGGAGGAGCACGAAGGUUGGCUAAUCCUGGUCGGACAUCAGGAGGUUAGUGCAAUGGCAUAAGCCAGCUUGACUGCGAGCGUGACGGCGCGAGCAGGUGCGAAAGCAGGUCAUAGUGAUCCGGUGGUUCUGAAUGGAAGGGCCAUCGCUCAACGGAUAAAAGGUACUCCGGGGAUAACAGGCUGAUACCGCCCAAGAGUUCAUAUCGACGGCGGUGUUUGGCACCUCGAUGUCGGCUCAUCACAUCCUGGGGCUGAAGUAGGUCCCAAGGGUAUGGCUGUUCGCCAUUUAAAGUGGUACGCGAGCUGGGUUUAGAACGUCGUGAGACAGUUCGGUCCCUAUCUGCCGUGGGCGCUGGAGAACUGAGGGGGGCUGCUCCUAGUACGAGAGGACCGGAGUGGACGCAUCACUGGUGUUCGGGUUGUCAUGCCAAUGGCACUGCCCGGUAGCUAAAUGCGGAAGAGAUAAGUGCUGAAAGCAUCUAAGCACGAAACUUGCCCCGAG
rnacentral:rRNA from 1 species